AGGACGAACGCUGGCGGCGUGCUUAACACAUGCAAGUCGAGCGGUAAGGCCUUUCGGGGUACACGAGCGGCGAACGGGUGAGUAACACGUGGGUGAUCUGCCCUGCACUCUGGGAUAAGCCUGGGAAACUGGGUCUAAUACCGGAUAUGACCUGCUCUCGCAGUGGGGGUGGGUGGAAAGAUUUAUCGGGUGCAGGAUCGGGCCCGCGGCCUAUCAGCUUGGUUGGUGGGUAAUGGCCUACCGAAGGCGACGACGGGUA
rnacentral:rRNA from 1 species